CGUGAGGGAAAGGCGAAAAGAACCCCGGCGAGGGGAGUGAAAAAGAACCUGAAACCGUGUACGUACAAGCAGUGGGAGCACAGGUUUACCUGUGUGACUGCGUACCUUUUGUAUAAUGGGUCAGCGACUUAUAUUCUGUAGCAAGGUUAACCGUAUAGGGGAGCCGGAGGGAAACCGAGUCUUAAUUGGGCGUUAAGUUGCAGGGUAUAGACCCGAAACCCGGUGAUCUAGCCAUGGGCAGGUUGAAGGUUGGGUAACACUAACUGGAGGACCGAACCGACUAAUGUUGAAAAAUUAGCGGAUGACCUGUGGCUGGGGGUGAAAGGCCAAUCAAACCGGGAGAUAGCUGGUUCUCCCCGAAAGCUAUUUAGGUAGCGCCUCGUGAAUUCAUCUCCGGGGGUAGAGCACUGUUUCGGCUAGGGGGCCAUCCCGGCUUACCAACCCGAUGCAAACUGCGAAUACCGGAGAAUGUUAUCACGGGAGACACACGGCGGGUGCUAACGUCCGUCGUGAAGAGGGAAACAACCCAGACCGCCAGCUAAGGUCCCAAAGUCAUGGUUAAGUGGGAAACGAUGUGGGAAGGCCCAGACAGCCAGGAUGUUGGCUUAGAAGCAGCCAUCAUUUAAAGAAAGCGUAAUAGCUCACUGGUCGAGUCGGCCUGCGCGGAAGAUGUAACGGGGCUAAACCAUGCAC
rnacentral:rRNA from 1 species